GGAGGGAAUACCAGAUAUUGGGCUGUGUCCCCCAGUGCCCUGAGCUCCCGGGCCUGCACCACUGGAUUCGUGCUCCCAGGGCUGCGCAGCCCUCU
rnacentral:pre_miRNA from 1 species